rnacentral:tRNA from 1 species
GGAAAAAUUGCUAUUGGUACAGUAAGAUAUUCGCUAAAUAUCCGGAAUAAUUUUUCCUUGUGAGUUCGAUUCUCACUUUUUCCG